AUGAACUUAGAUGCAGCGGUAUUGCGCAACAAACGAGGAGGAGCAGUGGCCGCCAUUUGCCGAGACCACACAGGGUUAUACCUUGGGUCUUCGGCUGUUCUGGUUCGAGGCAUCAAUGACUCGAUGAUACUGGAAACUUUUGCUUGCAAUGAAGCAUUGGCACUAGCAGAUGAUCUAAAUAUUCAGAGGGUGGUGGUUGCAUUGGAUAGACUGGGUGUGGUGAAGGUCAUUGACGCUGGAACAAGGGGCCUUCAUUCGGCAAUAGUACAUGAAAUAAUAGAGCGUAGCAAUAGGUUUACUUUAUGUUCUUUUUCUCAUGAGCGUAGGAACCACAAUUUUGAAGCUCAUAAUCUCGUCAAAUCGGCCUAUAAUCUAGGCUUAGGUAGGUUUGGUUGGGCACUCCUCAUGACCCGAACCGUGUACCUAUGA
rnacentral:rRNA from 1 species